UCUGCCUACAGGGGGCAUUGUGACAUAUCUCUGCCCUGAUCACCCAGGUGAUGUAACUCUUGUCUAGGCUCUGCCUAAAGGGGGUAUUGUGACAUAUCUCUGCACUGAUCACAUAGGUGAUGUAACUUUUUCUAGGCUCUGUCUACAGGGAUUUUUGUGACAUAUCACUGCACUGAUCACCCAUGUGAUAUAACUCUUGUCUAGGCUCUGCCUAUAGUGGCAUUGUGACAUAUCUCUGCACUGAUCACCCAUGUGAUAUAACUCUUGUCUGGGCUCUGCCUACAGUGGCAUUGUGACAUAUCUCUGCACUGAUCACCCAGGUGAUAUAACUAUUGUCUAGGAU
rnacentral:lncRNA from 10 species